AGCGACUUAGCAUACAUGCAUACAUGGUGUUAGGAAGUGUUCUAACUUCAUUCUUUUCCAUGUAGCUGUCCCGUUUCCCCAGCACCACUUACUGAAGAGGCUCUCUUUGCCCCAUUGUAUAUUCUUGCCUCCUUUGUCAAGAAUAAGGUACCCAUAGGUGCAUGGGUAUAUUUCUGGGCUUUCUAUCUUGUUCCAUUGGUCUGUAUUUCUGUUUUUGUGCCAGUACCAUACUGUCUUGGAAGGAAGCUAACAUUUACAAUGAAUUUCCAACUUGCAGGUUUCACCUGGCAGCCUUAUGGCAUAACAGGCAAAUUAAAAAAAAAAAAAAAACUGAGACAAAGGGGACAUAAACUCUGUUACGAAAGAAUAAUCCUGACCAUAAUGGUUUUGUGUCUCAAGAAAUGUAAUCUCACUCAGAGAGAUAUCCAUGACCCUUUUUGAUACCUCGCAAGAGGGCAAGUUGGCUUUCCCAGGUGGCUCAGUGGUGAAGAAUCUCCUGGCCAGUGCAAAAGACACAGGUUCAGUCCCUGGGUUGGGAAGAUUCCCUGGAGAAGAAAACAGCAACCUACUCCAGCAUUCUUGCCUGGGAAAUCCCAUGGACAGAGGAGCCUGGUGGGCUACAGACCAUGGGGUCACAAAGAGUUGGACACGACUUAGCAACUGAACGACAACAAGAGGACAAGCUGCACUCUGAUCUGAGAUGCUGGCUUAGUACCAUGGAACUCAUUGUUGAAGAUACAACCUCACAUUCUCUCCUGGGCGAUUCCCUGAUGAGACACAGGCAUGCCGUCGACCGUCAGAUCCAUGAGGGCAUGAACCCAUGUCUGGCUCACGUAAUCCCUGUUCUCGAUGCUUCCUAGAAUACAAUCAGCUCUCAGUAACCAAAUGAAUUCGAUAGAUACAGCAACUUUCCUCUAGAGCACACAAGCUUUCAUGCUAGACACUGAAAGGAAAGCUAAAACUGCAGCUGCCGGGGAGAGGUGGCACACUGGGACUCGUGAAGACUGUGGACAGGCAUACUCCAAAUCCUGUGUUGUGACAAGUGAGCAAUCACAGAGCCUUCUAGAAGCAGUUUCCAGACAGCAAUAUGGCUACUGGUAUGCAAGGAGAUCAAGCCAGUCAAUCCUAAAGGAAAUCUAUCCUGAAUCUUCAUUGGAAGGACUGAUGCUGAAGCUGAAGCUCCAAUACUUUGGCCACCUGAUGCAAAGAGUCAACUCAAUGGAAAAGACCCUGAUGCUGGGGAAGAUUGAGGGCAGGAAGAGAAGGGGGUGGCAGAAGACAAGAUGGUUGAAUGGCCUCAUUGACUUAGCCGACGUGAGUCUGAGCAAACUUAGCGAGAUGGUGAAGAAAAAGGAAGCCUGGUGUGCUGCAGCCUAUGGGGUCACAAAGAGUCAGACCCGACUUAGGAACUGA
rnacentral:lncRNA from 1 species